AAGACUAUAUUUUUAGGAGUAAUUUUUAUAGUUUGUUACUAGAGCAGUUUCUCUGAUCAGGCAGAGCAUCAAAACCAUGAGGAGGAGCCAGAGUAUUCUCUCCUGAGCAUGAAGUCGUAUCUAGGUGUUGCUUCUGCAACUGCCUUUGACCUUGAAGAUCCUUCUUCUCUUCUUCUAUUUUGGCAGAGUGGUGGGAGAGGAUACAAUGAGUGGU